GUUUUCUGGCCGUGCCAAAAUGAGGCCCUGUGAUGGAUGCCAUCUUGGAAGCAUCACAGAUCAGCACAUACCAGAGACUGGAGCGACCAGCUGCUCUAGUUUCACAGAGCGCCUCAUCAGUGCAGACUUCAGCCAUUACCACAAACCUACAAAAAAUGCUUGCGUGAGAACCAACAGUAAAGGGCUGGACGUAAAAUUCUAGACUCCACCCUCAGCAUUAAAGUCAUGACAUUAUCAGCUGGAGAAUAGUCACGAAUCCUAGAAAGGUGUUCCCUCGAUGGAAAACCUUGGAUCCAAAAUGAAGUUAUUGGACCACAAUUCUUCCAACUAACCUGCCUUGAAGUCAUGUUAAUGAUUCAAAGCUCUUCAAACUUUGAAGAUCAUUAUUUAAAUCACGUCAGAAAGUGAGGACUGCUGUUGAACCUUAUUUUCCAAGGUGCCUUCAGAGCAGAUGGA
ensembl:lncRNA